UACGUAGGGUGCGAGCGUUGUCCGGAAUUAUUGGGCGUAAAGAGCUCGUAGGCGGUGUGUCACGUCGGCCGUGAAAACCUGCAGCUUAACUGUGGGCGUGCGGUCGAUACGGGCAUCACUGGAGUUCGGCAGGGGAGACUGGAAUUCCUGGUGUAGCGGUGAAAUGCGCAGAUAUCAGGAUGAACACCGGUGGCGAAGGCGGGUCUCUGGGCCGAUACUGACGCUGAGGAGCGAAAGCGUGGGGAGCAAACAGG
rnacentral:rRNA from 1 species